rnacentral:rRNA from 1 species
GACGAACGCUGGCGGCGUGCUUAACACAUGCAAGUCGAACGGAAAGGCCCUUCCUUUGUGGGGUGCUCGAGUGGCGAACGGGUGAGUAACACGUGAGUAACCUGCCCUUGACUUUGGGUUAACUUCAGGAAACUGGGGCUAAUACCCGAUAGGAGUUCCUGCUGCAUGGUGGGGGUUGGAAAGCUUCCGCGGUUGGGGUUGGACUUGCGGCUUAUCAGCUUGUUGGUGGGGUAGUGGUUCACCAACGCUUUGACGGAUAACCUACCUGAGAGGGUGACCACGCCCAUUGGGACUGAGGUAGGGACCAGUCUGCAACGGGAGACAGUGGUGGAAAAUAUUGUCCAGUAGUGGCACGUCUGUUACAAAGGCGUCGCGUGUGGGAUGACGGCCUUCCGGUAGUAAACCGCUUGGGUCUGUGACGGACCGUGAGUGACGGUAACGGAAAAAGAAGCACCGGCUAACUACGUG